rnacentral:rRNA from 1 species
UACGAAGGGGGCUAGCGUUGCUCGGAAUCACUGGGCGUAAAGGGCGCGUAGGCGGCGUUUUUAAGUCGGGGGUGAAAGCCUGUGGCUCAACCACAGAAUGGCCUUCGAUACUGGGACGCUUGAGUAUGGUAGAGGUUGGUGGAACUGCGAGUGUAGAGGUGAAAUUCGUAGAUAUUCGCAAGAACACCAGUGGCGAAGGCGGCUCACUGGCCCGGUACUGACGCUGGAGGUGCGAAAGCGUGGGGAGCAAACAGGG